AAAAGAAAAUUUUAAUGGUGAAAUAUUUUGGCAGCACCAAACAAACCAACCAAUUAAACAAAUUUCAAUGUAAGCAGAUUUUAGUCUAAUUAUUUGUGUUUCUGGAUCCCAACCAGAAAGACCAGAACAACAAAUAUUAUGCAAUACUACAUGAUAUCAUCAUGAUCCAUGAUUCUUCCUUAUUCAAACCCUGUGGGCCAUAUCUCUCACCUGAACACCUCUCAUGCCCCCCUCUCAACCAACGGCUCUGAUCCCACCUUCCAUCUUCAUCAAUCACCCCCUCUGAUGCUUUUUUUUGACAAAUCAAUUUGAUUCUUUUUUACAAAUUUUAUCAAAGUAGGGCCCUACAUUCCCCAAAAGAAUCUAACAUCUACCAUGGGAGUACCACGAGAGAUAGAAGAGAAUGGUGUCGCUUUCUCAACCUUUUGUACUAAAACAAAACUCUUUCUUGUUUGAUGCGCAUCGUGCUGUGUAUGUUUCACGCUCGUUUGAUCGUAUUACGAGGCCUUGAAGCGUGAUGGUGACGCGUGGUGGACCUUAAUCUUUGUGUAUGAAACUAGAUGAUGUGGCUUAGUGAAUAUCAUAUAAAAUCAGCUUUGUGAUAUCAAUUAUUGAUUUUGGCAUAUUCUCUCCAUGGAUCAUUAGCGAGUUGAAAUAGAGAUGUUUUAUGGUGCAUUUCGAAAAUUAUUUGUUUUUGUGCAAAGAUGGGAAUUUCUAAAUUUCAAUAUAUGUAUUUUCCUCACAUAUUCCUAUUAAUAAAUCAAAUUAGGCCCAUAACUUGAAUGAAUCUUUAUCCUUCAUAUUUUUGUAAAUCAGGUGAUGGAUAUGUAAUGAUUCAUCAUGUCGUUGAUUCUAC
rnacentral:lncRNA from 1 species